GUCCAGACUCCUACGGGAGGCAGCAGUGGGGAAUAUUGGGCAAUGGGCGCAAGCCUGACCCAGCAACGCCGCGUGAAGGAAGAAGGCCCUCGGGUUGUAAACUUCUUUUAUCAAGGACGAAACAAAUGACGGUACUUGAUGAAUAAGCCACGGCUAACUACGUGCCAGCAGCCGCGGUAAUACGUAGGGAGCGAGCGUUGUCCGGAAUUACUGGGUGUAAAGGGAGCGUAGGCGGGACUGCAAGUUGGGUGUCAAAUCUACCGGCUCAACCGGUAGCCGCACUCAAAACUGCAGUUCUUGAGUGAAGUAGAGGCAGGCGGAAUUCCUAGUGUAGCGGUGAAAUGCGUAGAUAUUAGGAGGAACACCAGUGGCGAAGGCGGCCUGCUGGGCUUUUACUGACGCUGAGGCUCGAAAGUGUGGGGAGCAAACAGGAUUAGAUACCCCAGUAA
rnacentral:rRNA from 1 species